AGAUUUGCUAUAUAAAUAGCAAAAUUAUGCAUAAAAAAAGAGAGGAUGGCCGAAUGAAAGAAAAAAAAGGGGAGACAGUGAGAGAGUGUAUCUUGAGAGCAGAUACUAAAACGGUCAUAUCUCUAUAUUGCACCGUUGGAUUGGUCUGAUUUUUGGAUAUAUUAUGGCUCUCACCACCCUCUAAUAGCUGACCGUUGGGAUCUGAAUGUUCUGGUUUUGUGUGAGAGAUAUAUACCUCGCAACAUUUCAAGGAAAACUUGCCUGCAGGUCAGUCACGGUCACUGGCAGUUUUUGCCUUUGUCCACCGUUGGAUCCUGCUCAAAUUUGAAUAUGUUCGUCAUAUUGGUGAGCUCUUCAUUAUGAACGGUGGAGAUCGGGAUUCAAGACUUAUACAAGGAGAAAAGAUGUAUGGAGCAGGGUCGUCAGUAGUUAAAGGGACUCGAUCGAUUGGGGAAACAGGACCAUCGCGCGCACGACAGGAGUAGAUCCUAGCUUUUGUUCACUUUUUGUUAUGUAGUUUUAGGGAGUAUAUCCUUGUAUUUUGAAAUAUUAAAAUAUUCAUAUAACUUAAUUUAUAUAAUGGAUGUUUUAAACUUGAUUAGAUGAACUUAACUCUGAAAUCCAUAUAAUCAUGUUUCA